CUGGCACUAUGUGCUCCUCUGGGCUGUUACUCAUUUCUUGCUGAGUCUGCCCCAUUUCAGCUCAAAAGUUCAGGGACACUCUGAAGGCUUUCUGCACUUAGCUCGAGGGUGAACACGUGGCGAAGUCAGCUGCUUUCUGUCCACUGCCCUCCUCGGGGAGCCCUGCCCUGGUUGCAGCAGAGAAGGGAACCCUUCUGAGGCUGGGGGAGAAGGGCUGGGUGCAGGGGCAAGAGCCCAGCUGUACCUUCGCUAGCGGGGCUGUCCCAGGCUGGCAGGCACGCAGAGAAGCUCAGCAGCCCAAGGAAAGUUGUUUCCCAAGUGUCACAUUAAAAAUGCAGCUGUCUGCUCUGCAACUGCUAACGGCUUAGUGAUAGCGCUCGUGCAGCAAGCUCCGACCGUCGUUAUUUUCUGGUAGAUGGAGCUCGCUGCUUCCUUCUGCCAGCCACUUGCUGGUUUGGAAGUUGUCUAGAUGGGGAAUUAUUGUAUUCAGGAUAGAGUUAAUUCGUUCUAUAUUCUCAAUGAAAACUAAGCUCAGCUGCAGGCUGCCCUGCCGGGCUCCGAAGCUCCCAGCUGCUGCGGCAGCGGGCAGCAGAGGGCGGGCGGCUCUGGCUCUCUGGCUCCGGGUGCUCCGGGUGCUCCGGCUCUCUGGCUCCCCAGAUCCCAGGGCUCCGGUUCUCCCCUUCGCUAGUGGCUCCUGCACAGUGGUGGCCUGGUUGGAGGGGAAUUUUCUGAAAGAGGCUGCCCUCAGCGUAACUCUCACCUGUUAUACUUCAGAUCCGUCUCCUCUGCAACUGAAACGCUGUUUAUAUCCCUGCCUGUGUGCCAACAUUUUUAAACAGUUUCUUGGUUUUCCUGUGAGCAAGUGGAGGCCCUCGUGUUUGGUCUCAAAGUGCUUUGUGUUUGGUCUCAAAGUGCUUUCUCCUUCAAUCCCAGUGGAUUAUAAUGUGUAUGAAUAAAAUACACAAAUGUAUAACAUAAAGAUGCUUCUGAGAAGGUUGUGUUUAGUAAAGCAGAAGGUCUGAUUUUGGGCGAUUGGUUCUUUGGAUUGCAGGAGACCUGGAAAUCCUGCUGGGUGAAGUGUUUUCACAGAUCUUUAUCAGAAAAGCCCUCACCACAGGAGGAGCAGAGGAGCCCGCAGUGUUCCUUCUUGUACUGCAGCCUAGAAGCAGAACCUGCCUGUGAAUGGCCUCAUGAACGUGGGCCACUGAGCUAGGAGAAGCGGCCAGGCUGUAACUGCCUUUGUUCUCCCAAAACUUUCUUGUAGCUUAAUUUCCCCCAGAGAAUAUCUUGACACUUAUGAAUAGGACUGAUUAAUUCUUGACUUCUGCUGGUUGAUGGUAGACCUGGUAAUGGCAUGUGUUGUCUUUAGGGGUGUUAUGAUUGUCUGAUUCGCUCUGUGAAUGAUACUGGUGGCUGUGUUUGGACAGUGGAGUGCCACUCACUGCACGAGGAAAGGCACCAUAAGAAUACAGUGAAAAGGCAGACCUUGGCUUAAAAUAAAUGAGACUUCCUCUUCCUACA
rnacentral:lncRNA from 1 species